rnacentral:lncRNA from 1 species
UUAGCCGCCCUUUCCAUUUCUCUCAGUGCCUUGAAGUUGUCCAGUGCAUUUUUAUCUAUUUUCAAGUGUAACCCGUAGUUUUCUCUCCAUUUUCAAUCUUAAAUUAAGUUUUCAGUUUUUCCAUUUUCUUCUCUUUGUGCUUUCAAUAUCUUUACCCAACACUCACAUCUGGAUUUUUCGAAAUUUUGUGUUAUACGUUUGGCUUAGUUGAUAGAAAAAGGAGAGGUUUGAUUUACUUAUUUUUUUAUUUUGUAGGGUUUUCAAUUUUCUCAAAUUUUUUGCAGUAUUAUUACUGCAUAUAUUUUAACGUCCACCCUCAAUUCCUGACUUUUACCUCACUACGUGGAUUUUUGAUUUUUCACUUAUUCAUUUUGUAUUUCUUGAAACUUAUUUGUUCUAAUUUUUUCUUGAGGUGGUAUUGGUGCUUCUUAUCUUACAAAUCAAUAUUUGGUGUAAGUUUCUUCGUAUGGCUA